GAUGAACGCUAGCGGCAGGCUUAAUACAUGCAAGUCGUACGGGAUCCGAGGUAGCAAUACUUUGGUGAGAGUGGCGCACGGGUGCGUAACACGUAUGCAACCUACCUAUAACCGGGACACAACCCACCGAAAGGUGAGCUAAUAUCCCAUAACACUGCGAGAUGGCAUCAUUUUGCAGUUAAAACUCCGGUGGUUAUAGAUGGGCAUGCGCGACAUUAGCUAGUUGGUGAGGUAACGGCCCACCAAGGCUACGAUGUCUAGGGGUUCUGAGAGGAUUAUCCCCCACACUGGUACUGAGACACGGACCAGACUCCUACGGGAGGCAGCAGUAAGGAAUAUUGGUCAAUGGGCGCAAGCCUGAACCAGCCAUGCCGCGUGAAGGAUGACGGCCCUAUGGGUUGUAAACUUCUUUUGUACGGGAAAAAACCUCUGGUCGCGAAUCAGAGCUGAUGGUACCGUAAGAAUAAGCAUCGGCUAACUCCGUGCCAGCAGCCGCAGUAACAC
rnacentral:rRNA from 1 species